rnacentral:rRNA from 1 species
AUUGAACGCUGGCGGCAGGCUUAACACAUGCAAGUCGAGCGGGGGAAGGUAGCUUGCUACCGGACCUAGCGGCGGACGGGUGAGUAAUGCUUAGGAAUCUGCCUAUCAGUGGGGGACAACAUUCCGAAAGGGAUGCUGAUACCGCAUACGUCCUACGGGAGACAGCAGGGGAUCUUCGGACCUUGCGCUAAUAGAUGAGCCUAAGCCGGAUUAGCUAGUUGGGGGGGUAAAGGCCUACCAAGGCGACGAUCUGUUGCGGGUCUGAGAGGAUGAUCCGCCACACUGGGACUGAGACACGGCCCAGACUCCUACGGGAGGCAGCAGUGGGGAAUAUUGGACAAUGGGGGGAACCCUGAUCCAGCCAUGCCGCGUGUGUGAAGAAGGCCUUAUGGUUGUAAAGCACUUUAAGCGAGGAGGAGGCUACUCUAGUUAAUACCUAGGGAUAGUGGACGUUACUCGCAGAAUAAGCACCGGCUAACUCUGUGCCAGCAGCCGCCGUAA